GCCAGAUGCAGUGGCAUAUGCCUGUAGUCCCAGCUACUUGGGAGGCUGAGACAGGAAGAUCACUUGAGUCCGGGAGCUCUGGGCUGUAAUACACUAUGCCGAUUAGGUGUCCACACUAAGUUCAGCAUCAAUAUAGUGAUCUCCCACGAGCGGGGGGCCACCAGGUUGCCUAAGGAGGGGUAAACCAGCCCAGGUCGGAAAUGGAGCAGGUCAAAACUCCCAUGCUGAUCAGUAGUGGGAUCGCACCUGUGAAUAGCCACUGCACAUAGCAAGACCCCAUCUCUUAAAAAAAAUAC
ensembl:misc_RNA Metazoa_SRP Metazoan signal recognition particle RNA